rnacentral:rRNA from 1 species
AUUGAACGCUGGCGGCAGGCUUAACACAUGCAAGUCGAGCGAGCGGCGGACGGGUGAGUAAUGUCUGGGAAACUGCCUGAUGGAGGGGGAUAACUACUGGAAACGGUAGAUAAUACCGCAUACCAUCAGAUGUGCCCAGAUGGGAUAAGCUAGUAGGUGGGGGAAUGGCUCACCUAGGCGACGAUCCCUAGCUGGUCUGAGAGGAUGACCAGCCACACUGGAACCGAGACACGGUCCAGGCUCCUACGGGAGGCAGCAGUGGGGAAUAUUGCACAAUGGGCACGAGCCUGAUGCAGCCAUUCCUCGUAUGUGCAGAAGGCCUUCGGGUGGUAAAGAACUUUCAGCGAGGAGGCGUUACUCGCAGAAGAAGCACCGGCUAACUCGGUGCCAGCAGCCGCGGUAAGUC